GAUGAACGCUGGCGGCGUGCCUAAUACAUGCAAGUCGAGCGAACAGACGAGGAGCUUGCUCCUCUGACGUUAGCGGCGGACGGGUGAGUAACACGUGGAUAACCUACCUAUAAGACUGGGAUAACUUCGGGAAACCGGAGCUAAUACCGGAUAAUAUAUUGAACCGCAUGGUUCAACAGUGAAAGACGGUUUUGCUGUCACUUAUAGAUGGAUCCGCGCCGCAUUAGCUAGUUGGUAAGGUAACGGCUUACCAAGGCAACGAUGCGUAGCCGACCUGAGAGGGUGAUCGGCCACACUGGAACUGAGACACGGUCCAGACUCCUACGGGAGGCAGCAGUAGGGAAUCUUCCGCAAUGGGCGAAAGCUUGACGGAGCAACGCCGCGUGAGUGAUGAAGGUCUUCGGAUCGUAAAACGCUGUUAUUAGGGAAGAACAAAUGUGUAAGUAACUAUGCACGUCUUGACGGUACCUAAUCAGAAAGCCACGGCUAACUACGU
rnacentral:rRNA from 1 species